rnacentral:rRNA from 1 species
GUAGGUGGCAAGCGUUGUCCGGAAUUAUUGGGCGUAAAGCGCGCGCAGGCGGUCCUUUAAGUCUGAUGUGAAAGCCCACGGCUCAACCGUGGAGGGUCAUUGGAAACUGGGGGACUUGAGUACAGAAGAGGAAAGCGGAAUUCCAAGUGUAGCGGUGAAAUGCGUAGAGAUUUGGAGGAACACCAGCGGCGAAGGCGGCUUUCUGGUCUGUAACUGACGCUGAGGCGCGAAAGCGUGGGGAGCAAACAGGAUUAGAUACCCUGGUAGUCCACGCCGUAAACGAUGAGUGCUAAGUGUUAGGGGGUUUCCCGCCCCCCUUAGUGCUGCAGCUAACGCAUUAAGCACUCCGCCUGGGGAGUACGGCCGCAAGGCUG